rnacentral:rRNA from 1 species
CCUACGGGUGGCAGCAGUGGGGAAUAUUGGGCAAUGGGCGCAAGCCUGACCCAGCAACGCCGCGUGAAGGAAGAAGGCUUUCGGGUUGUAAACUUCUUUUCUCAGGGACGAAGCAAGUGACGGUACCUGAGGACUAAGCCACGGCUAACUACGUGCCAGCAGCCGCGGUAAUACGUAGGUGGCAAGCGUUAUCCGGAUUUACUGGGUGUAAAGGGCGUGUAGGCGGGAAAGCAAGUCUGAUGUGAAAACCAUGGGCUCAACCUGUGGCCUGCAUUUGAAACUGUUUUUCUUGAGUACUGGAGAGGCAGACGGAAUGCCUAGUGUAGCGGUGAAAUGCGUAGAUAUUAGGAGGAACACCAGUGGCGAAGGCGGUCUGCUGGACAGCAACUGACGCUGAGGCGCGAAAGCGUGGGGAGCAAACAGGAUUAGAUACCCUUGUAGUC